CACUAUCAUACCUCCGGUACGUACAGAACACAUCACACAGAAAAUUAUGGGAACCACUGAGCAGUGAGGCCAAGGGUGAUCCCCUGCUGAGAAAACCCUGUGUGCCCAGCUCUGAGCUAGCCCUGCUGUAUAUGAUUUCAUUUUAGUUACCAUAAGUUCAAUUUGGCUAUUUUAUCCCCAUUUUGCAGAUGGGAACACUGAAGUUUGGAGAAGUUAACACAUUUUUAGGGUUAUGGUUUUCAGUCUGUUUUUCUCUUUUCUCCCCCUAUAUCUUCUUUCUCCUCAUCUGUCUCUCUUGUCCUUGGAGCAUGAGGUGAGCCUGGUCUCAAUCUAUUGUCCACCUGCUCCUCCAAUAAAUGACUUCAGAGAGAGCUGGAAUCUCAUUCUUGUCCCCAGUUUCUCCCUUUACCUUGACCUGGAUCACCGGGGGUGCAAAUGAGUAGAUACAAGGGUGAUGCAAGUCUUAAUGCUAAUUUCACAUUAUUCCAGGAGAUGACUACACACUCUAAUCCCUUCUCUCUGGCCUUCAUCUAUUUUGCAGGUGGUGAAGGCAUUUGUGGUCCUGGCCUCGCAGUUCCUAUCCCAUGACCCAGAACAGCUCACCAAGGAGCUGCAGCAGCAUGUGAAGUCGGUGACAGCCCCAUACAAGUACCCAAGAAAGAUAGAGUUUGUCUUGAACCUGCCCAAGACUGUCACAGGGAAAAUUCAACGAACCAAACUUCGAGACAAGGA
rnacentral:sRNA from 1 species